AGUGAACGCUGGCGAUAGGCCUAACACAUGCAAGUCGAACGGCAGCACAGUAAGAGCUUGCUCUUACGGGUGGCGAGUGGCGGACGGGUGAGGAAUACAUCGGAAUCUACUUUUUCGUGGGGGAUAACGUAGGGAAACUUACGCUAAUACCGCAUACGACCUACGGGUGAAAGCAGGGGAUCUUCGGACCUUGCGCGAUUGAAUGAGCCGAUGUCGGAUUAGCUAGUUGGCGGGGUAAAGGCCCACCAAGGCGACGAUCCGUAGCUGGUCUGAGAGGAUGAUCAGCCACACUGGAACUGAGACACGGUCCAGACUCCUACGGGAGGCAGCAGUGGGGAAUAUUGGACAAUGGGCGCAAGCCUGAUCCAGCCGUACCGCGUGGGUGAAGAAGGCCUUCGGGUUGUAAAGCCCUUUUAUUGGGAAAGAAAAGCAGCAGGUUAAUACCCCGCUGUUCUGACGGUACCCAAAGAAUAAGCACCGGCUAACUUCGUG
rnacentral:rRNA from 1 species